ACUCCUACGGGAGGCAGCAGUGGGGAAUCUUGCGCAAUGGGCGAAAGCCUGACGCAGCCAUGCCGCGUGAAUGAUGAAGGUCUUAGGAUUGUAAAAUUCUUUCACCGGGGACGAUAAUGACGGUACCCGGAGAAGAAGCCCCGGCUAACUUCGUGCCAGCAGCCGCGGUAAUACGAAGGGGGCUAGCGUUGCUCGGAAUUACUGGGCGUAAAGGGAGCGUAGGCGGACAUUUAAGUCAGGGGUGAAAUCCCGGGGCUCAACCUCGGAAUUGCCUUUGAUACUGGGUGUCUUGAGUAUGAGAGAGGUGUGUGGAACUCCGAGUGUAGAGGUGAAAUUCGUAGAUAUUCGGAAGAACACCAGUGGCGAAGGCGACACGCUGGCUCAUUACUGACGCUGAGGCUCGAAAGCGUGGGGAGCAAACAGGAUUAGAUACCCUGGUAGUCCACGCCGUAAACGAUGAUUGCUAGUUGUCGGGAUGCAUGCAUUUCGGUGACGCAGCUAACGCAUUAAGUUGACCGCCUGGGGAGUACGGCCGCAAGGUUAAAACUUAAAGGAAUUGACGG
rnacentral:rRNA from 1 species